rnacentral:piRNA from 1 species
CAGGUUACUUGUUCCAAGAAAGU